rnacentral:rRNA from 1 species
AGCAGCCGCGGUAAUUCCAGCUCCAAUAGCGUAUAUUAAAGUUGUUGCAGUUAAAAAGCUCGUAGUUGAAUUUCGGGAUCGACGGGUCGGUCGCGCCUCUGGUGUGUACUGGCCCUGUCGGUUUCUCCCUUCUGACGAACCACGAUGUCAUUAAUUUGGUGUCGUGGGAAAUCAGGACUGUUACUUUGAAAAAAUUAGAGUGUUUAAAGCAGGCAUUCGCUUGAAUACAUUAGCAUGGAAUAAUGAAAUAGGACGUUUGAUCUUAUUUUGUUGGUUUCUAAGAUCGACGUAAUGAUUAAUAGGGAUAGUUGGGGGCAUUAGUAUUCAAUUGUCAGAGGUGAAAUUCUUGGAUUUAUUGAAGACUAACUACUGCGAAAGCAUUUGCCAAGGAUGUUUUCAUUAAUCAAGAACGAAAGUUAGGGGAUCGAAGACGAUCAGAUACCGUCGUAGUCUUAACCAUAAACUAUGCCGACUAGGGAUCGGAUGAUGUUAAUUUUUUAAUGACUCAUUCGGCGCCUUA